rnacentral:rRNA from 1 species
GAUGAACGCUAGCUACAGGCUUAACACAUGCAAGUCGAGGGGUAGCACGGAGGAAGCUUGCUUCCUUGGGUGACGACCGGCGCACGGGUGAGUAACGCGUAUCCGACCUACCCAUAACACGGGCACAGCCGCUCGAAAGAGUGAUUGAUUCCCGAUAUGUCUUUAGAGUAGAUUUAAAGAUGAAAGAUUUAUCGGUUAUGGAUGGGGAUGCGUAAGAUUAGGUAGUAGGCGGGGUAACGGCCCACCUAGCCGACGAUCUUUAGGGGUUCUGAGAGGAAGGUCCCCCACACUGGUACUGAGACACGGACCAGACUCCUACGGGAGGCAGCAGUGAGGAAUAUUGGUCAAUGGGCGGAAGCCUGAACCAGCCAAGUAGCGUGAAGGAUUACAGCCCUACGGGUUUUAAACUUCUUUUAUAUAAGAGUAAUGUGCACUACGUGUAGUGUAUUGCAAGUAUUAUAUGAAUAAGCAUCGGCUAACUCCGUG